rnacentral:rRNA from 1 species
UACGUAGGUGGCAAGCGUUGUCCGGAAUUAUUGGGCGUAAAGCGCGCGCAGGCGGUCCUUUAAGCCUGAUGUGAAAGCCCACGGCUCAACCGUGGAGGGUCAUUGGAAACUGGGGGACUUGAGUACAGAAGAGGAAAGCGGAAUUCCACGUGUAGCGGUGAAAUGCGUAGAGAUGUGGAGGAACACCAGUGGCGAAGGCGGCUUUCUGGUCUGUAACUGACGCUGAGGCGCGAAAGCGUGGGGAGCAAACAGG